GGAUCAAUGGAAACUUCAAAGACGGUAGCACACGAAAUCGGUGGAGUAAGGAACGAUGCGUUUUGAUUAGGGCUUUAGUGUUAAGAGCAAUAUCGUUGGAUCCCAUCUUCUUGAGUUUGCCUAUUACUCUACGAAGGACCUUUGUACAAAGGUCAGUUGAAGCCUAAUCAAUUGAAGGAAUACUACGAUGUAGAUUUGGGGAAUGAGAGGUUUACGGCCCUGUUAAAUUUUUAUCCAUUCUCUUUUUAUUUGUAAACUGACUCCACAAGUCAACAACGAACAACAUUCGAUCAACCGGUAAACUGAAGAGAUGCAAGGUUGAGUAAUCACUUCAAAGGCAUUGAAAUACUCAUGAAUGAUCUCUCAAGUUCUUCCACUCCCUUGAUCACAAUUUGAAUUUGGAAGCCCGUUUGGACUCUUUGGUGUGUUGAACUGAAAGUUUUCUCACUGGGAAGGGUGACAAAAUGCAUACAGCAUUUGCGACGAAGAGCUCUACUAAGUAGUAAUUUUUAUUGCUGAUUUCCCUUUGCUGAUUUAGAGGAAAUAAAUUUUACUUUCUCUCUCUUAAAAAGAAUAA